rnacentral:rRNA from 1 species
UACGGAGGUGGCAAGCGUUACUCGGAAUCAUUGGGUGUAAAGGGCAAGUAGGCGGUCUAUUAAGUGAGGGGUGAAAUCUUCCGACUCAAUCGGAAAACUGCCUUUCAAACUGAUAGACUUGAGGUAGGAAGGGGGAAACGGAAUUCCAGGUGUAAGGGUGAAAUCUGUAGAUAUCUGGAAGAACACCGGCGGCGAAGGCGGUUUCCUGGUCCUACCCUGACGCUGAAUUGCGAAAGCUAGGGGAGCAAACAGA